rnacentral:rRNA from 1 species
UACAGAGGCUCCAAGCGUUAUCCGGAAUCACUGGGCGUAAAGGGUGUGUAGGCGGUCGUAUUAGUCUUUCGUAAAAGCCCGUGGGCUUAACCCAUGGAAUGCGGGGGAAACGGUACGACUAAGAGGACGCGAGAGGUAGAGGGAACUCAUGGUGUAGGGGUGAAAUCCGUUGAUAUCAUGGGGAACACCAAAUGCGAAGGCACUCUACUGGCGCGCUCCUGACGCUGAAACACGAAAGCGUAGGUAGCGAACGGG